rnacentral:rRNA from 1 species
CCGUUCGGGGGUAAACGGACAGAGCCCGUGAAUCCGGGCGCGCGGAAUUCAGGACCGACGGCGCGUCGUUCAUCGUCGCGCGUCGAUUCGAUAUUUCCGCCGCCGACCGUAACUGGUGCGGACGUCGCGACCCGUUCGCCGUUGGUCUUACGGAGCGCGCAACGAGUUCGUUGCGCGCGUCGCACGUUUCGGCGUUGCGGCGCGUGCGCGAUGGCGCGUCUCUCCCGGGCCAGCGUGUGUAUAUAUACACGUAUGUCGGACGGUAAGUGUAACGCGCGGGUAAUCGCGGCCGCCGAACGAUCGGCGCGUGUCAAAGCGCGUCGGUCGGGCGUGGUCGUCGACGCCGGUCAGCGACGAAUCUUCGGGCCUCUUUCCGACCCGUCUUGAAACACGGACCAAGGAGUCUAACGUGCGCGCGAGUCGCGGGGUAUUCUCGAGUCGUAACGAGGCUCGUGAUAAUACGAAACCCGUUUAUACGUACGUUGUACGAAGGCGUAAUGAAAGUGAGGUGGCCUUUUAGCGUCACUCGGGAAGACGGUGCAUCCGAGUACACGUUUUAUUUCUCGGUCGUACGGGUACCGAGGCCGGACACCCGCAUUCCCAGGGCGUCCCGCUCGUCCGACGGGAGCGCGGACGCGCGAUUGUUUCGGCGGUCGCGCGUCGGUUCUCGCCGAACUGGGGCGCACCUUUAGCGUGCACGUUGGUACCCGAAAGAUGGUGAACUAUGCCCGGCCAGGAUGAAGUCAGGGGAAACCCUGAU